AACGAACGCUGGCGGCAUGCCUAACACAUGCGAGUCGAACGAUGCCUUCGGGCAUAGUGGCGCACGGGUGCGUAACGCGUGGGAAUCUGCCUUUCGGUUCGGAAUAACUCAGGGAAACUUGAGCUAAUACCGGAUAACGUCGCAAGACCAAAGAUUUAUCACCGAAAGAUGAGCCCGCGUAGGAUUAGCUAGUUGGUGAGGUAAAGGCUCACCAAGGCGACGAUCCUUAGCUGGUCUGAGAGGAUGAUCAGCCACACUGGGACUGAGACACGGCCCAGACUCCUACGGGAGGCAGCAGUGGGGAAUAUCGGACAAUGGGCGAAAGCCUGAUCCAGCAAUGCCGCGUGAGUGAUGAAGGCCUUAGGGUUGUAAAGCUCUUUUACCCGGGAAGAUAAUGACGGUACCGGGAGAAUAAGCCCCGGCUAACUCCGUG
rnacentral:rRNA from 1 species